UACGGGGGGGGCAAGCGUUGUUCGGAAUUACUGGGCGUAAAGGGCUCGUAGGCGGCCAACUAAGUCGGAUGUGAAAUCCCCAGGCUUAACCUGGGAACUGCAUCCGAUACUGGAUGGCUUGAAUCCGGGAGAGGGAUGCAGAAUUCCAGGUGUAGCGGUGAAAUGCGUAGAUAUCUGGAGGAAUACCGGUGGCGAAGGCGGUAUCCUGGACCGGCAUUGACGCUGAGGAGCGAAAGCUAGGGGAGCAAACGGG
rnacentral:rRNA from 1 species